AUGCUCUCGCUGCGGGCGCCGCCCCGUACUCUGUCGCCCUCGCCGUGGCGGAGACGGGGCCGCCUCGACGGUUUCGCCGCGCCGCGUUGUGUCAGCGCCGCGCCACCUGCGACAACCCUAGAGACGGCUACCGCGCGGCCGGCAGGCGUCUCCUUCCCGAUUCUGGUGAAUGGCUGCACUGGUAAAAUGGGGGUAUCUGUUGCUGAGGCAGCUACUUCAAGGGGUCUUCACCUAGUUCCUGUUUCAUUCAGUAGUAGAGAGAACCUUGACAAAACAAUACAAAUUGGUGAUAUAGAUGUUGAGAUAUAUGGCCCUUCUGCAAGAGAAGAUGUUCUUUCAUCUGUCAUCGACGAAUUCCCAGAUGUCAUUGUGGUGGACUACACGGCGCCUAAUUCUGUGAACUCUAAUGCCGAGCUCUAUUGCAAGCUUGGUGUGCCAUUUGUAAUGGGCACAACUGGUGGCGAUCAGCAGUUACUGUACAAAUCAGUGCAAGAUUCAAAUAACUACGCACUAAUAUCUCCACAAAUGGGCAAACAGGUUGUUGCAUUUCUUGCUGCAAUGGAAACAAUUGCGGAGCAGUUUCCUGGGGCCUUUUCAGGCUAUCGUUUGGAGGUACUGGAAUCCCAUCAAGCAGGAAAGCUGGACACAUCUGGUACAGCUAAAGCUGUAAUUGCUUGUUUCGAGAAGUUAGGCGCGGUCUUUGACAUGGACCGGAUGGUUAAGAUCAGGGAUCCUGAGCAACAGCUUUAUAUGGUGGGUGUCCCCGAAGAACACAUUGAAGGGCAUGCAUUCCAUCUGUACCAUCUAACUUCUCCCGAUGACAGCGUUUCAUUUGAGUUCCAGCACAAUGUUUGUGGCCGUUCAAUCUACGCCGAAGGGUCAGUUGAUGCUGCCGUAUUUCUGUAUAAGAAGGUACAAUCAAUGGAUCCUAAGAGAAUUUACAACAUGAUUGAUGUCUUGCAAGAAGGCGAUAUGCGGUGA
rnacentral:rRNA from 1 species